rnacentral:rRNA from 1 species
GCAAAACUUACAAAAAUAGGUCUCAGUUCGGACUGUAGGCUGCAACUCGCCUACACGAAGUUGGAAUUGCUAGUAAUCGUGGAUCAGCAUGCCACGGUGAAUACGUUCCCGGGUCUUGUACACACCGCCCGUCACACCAUGGGAGCUGGUAACACCCGAAGUCAGUAGUCUAACCGCAAGGAGGACGCUGCCGAAGGUGGGAUUAGCGACUGGGGUGAAGUCGUAACAAGGUAGC